GGGUGCAAUCAGACCAGUGUUAAUGCAUCGGAUCUCAUCAGAACUCCGCAGUUAUGCGCGCUUGGGCUAGAGUAGUACUGGGAUGGGUGACCUCCCGGGAAGUCCUAGUGUUGCACCCU
rnacentral:rRNA from 1 species